GCAUAUUGCAGCACAUUAACAAAUUGACUCAGAAUCGCUUAGCUAUCAUAACCAUAUUGUGUUUCAUUUAUAGCUUUAAUUUCAGAUCAUUUCAACCAAUUAUUGCAGUGAAAAAAAACUGAUGCAUCAACACAUCAAAGCACUCUCUUGCUGACAUCAGGGCUUUCCUGUUGCAGUCGGGUGUGCACGUCUCCAACACCACUAUAAGACGACACUAUAGACGUCAAAGACCUGUAGGCCUUCCUAGAAAAACAACUUCAAGAAAAAUGAACAGUGCUGCACUUAAAACGAUUGAUGAAAAACUGCACAAGGACAAUGAGCGAUCUGCUAAAAAGAUUCAGAGUGAGCUUCUGUUUAGAAUACAGUUAAAAGCAUCAGUCUGCACUAUUAGAAAACCAUUAAAACAACUCAGGUGGACCUAUGGAAAAGCCAGGAAUUAUGGACAGCUGUUUUUACAAAGACACUAUAGUAAAAUUUAAUCAGGUUCCAUAUGUAAAACAACACUUUAAAGAACCACAUCGCUUCUUCCAAGGUAGAUGCAGUAUGUAGGCCUACUGUACCAACUGUGUGUGUGUGUGUGUGUGUGCACACGUUCACUGCUGUGUGAAUGUGUUGAACUUUUUUA
rnacentral:lncRNA from 1 species